GCCAGACUCCUACGGGAGGCAGCAGUGGGGAAUAUUGGACAAUGGGGGGAACCCUGAUCCAGCGACGCCGCGUGGGUGAAGGAGCGUUUCGGCGCGUAAAGCCCUAUCGGCAGGGAAGAAGGAGGACGGUACCUGACUAAGAAGCCCCGGCUAACUACGUGCCAGCAGCCGCGGUAAUACGUAGGGGGCAAGCGUUAUCCGGAUUUACUGGGUGUAAAGGGGGCGCAGACGGCAGCGCAAGCCAGGAGUGAAAGCCCGGGGCCCAACCCCGGGACUGCUCUUGGAACUGCGCGGCUGGAGUGCAGGAGGGGCAGGCGGAAUUCCUGGUGUAGCAGUGAAAUGCGUAGAUAUCAGGAGGAACACCGGUGGCGAAGGCGGCCUGCUGGACUGCGACUGACGUUGAGGCCCGAAAGCGUGGGGAGCAAACAGGAUUAGAUACCCGCGUAAUU
rnacentral:rRNA from 1 species